rnacentral:lncRNA from 1 species
ACUGCGAAAGAGAUAAUGAAUGAAGGCAGAGCUAACAAACAAAAUGACAAACUAACAAGUGAACUGAUCAACGCUCCUACAGAUGACAAAGACAAGCCGCAGAAGAUUCGCAACGAGACGAGUGUGGCACGGCAGAUCUACUGGCACGUAUCAACGCACUGUCAUACUAAAAACCAACGAAAUAACGCUAGUUGUAUGGAGAGAGCCGUCGGAAUAGGCCAGCAGCAGCAGCUCUGCUGCUAUACAUUUGUCCAUCCACCCGCAACCCGUCGCUGAGGCUGUCGACGCCAGUAUGCCUGCUUAGCUUACGAAGUUCAUUGUUGACAAAGUUGCCGACAGGUGGAGCUACCAGUAGCGAAUACGCCAACGAAACAGAAUAUAAUACAAAACGAAAACAGGAGAAAGAGUAGGAGAACGGGAGCGCUUCUACGAGUGAGCGGGAGUUACAAAGAGUGAAAAAGCAGCACGCAUGCUUCAGUGGAGGGCGGCGAGGUUAUAGCGACGGCUUUGGCGGUGCUGGUGGGAGUAGGCGCCGUGUCAACGCAACGUUAACGACGUCAGCGAUGUCGCCAGUGCUUACCGCUUACUACAACUACCACAAGGAGCAAAUAUUACCUACAAUUUUUGUUGCUGCUGCUGCUACUUGGCGUUAUGCAGAGCGGCCCACACUAGCAGUCGCUGCUGCUACGGCGGCCGCGGUACACUGUAUAGGCUAGCGACGGCGACGAAUGCGGCGGCAGCCACGACCACAGCAGCAGCGGAGGCGGCCGUCUGAAGCGCCACCACGCGCGCUUCUGCUGCCUGUUCCAAACGGCCUGUAGCUGUUACUGGUGCUGCUGGUUUGCUGGUUGUUUGCUUACUCGGUCGGUCGCUGACUGGCGCUUGCUGGUUGUGUCUUGCCGCCGCUGCUAGUGCCAGCGCCGCCGUUACUGCCUCGCCAGCGCCAUCCGGCGGGCGCUCGCUUGACUCCUCUGCGGAGCGCAGAACUCUGGGAGCGGUUGCCGAUGCCGGUACCCAACGUGUGACGCUGGCGAGGACAGCUGUGCGCCCGCGAUAUAGCUGUUUGUGUCGUGCCGCUUGUAGCGAUAUGAUGAUCGUUGUAUCUGCGCGACGUCGCAAUGGUCGGCUUACGGGCCGGCCGAUUAGCCAAGCAUCGAUGUGUAUUGGGCGUCCAUUUAGUGCUUUGUGCGGCAACGUGUACCGAAUAGAAGAACAGAAGCAGCAGCAGCAGCAGCAGUCAUAGUCGUCAUAGUAUAGUGGCGGCGGCGGCGGCGGCAGCAGUAGCAGGGUCCGAUAUAGUUUAACGAUGCUAUGGUAUACAAUCAAAUGCCUAGUACGAUUACAUGACGGUAGAGUACUCUGUCCUGCCGUCGAAGUUACAAGUGCUGGUGCCUGUUAUUUCAUUUAGCUCGAACGUUGCGUAUGGCGGUGAUCUCUGCACGCUGCGCUCCGGUGAGGCCAGGCUGCUAGGCCAAUGCUGGUAGCAGUGCUGGCUAUCGCUUUGUGUGACAGCCUUGAUGCAGGCAGUCUCCACGUACAACUUGCAAUUGUAGCACGACGCUAUUAGUUGUUGUCGCUGAUGAUGCUGGUGAAUGUUAUUAUUGGUAUCGCUGCUGUUGUGCAUUAGAUUUACGACGAGUGCAGUGGCGACAGCCGUGUGCGACUGCUGCUGCUAUUGGUUACAGUGGAGUCGGCGAUGUGCUUCGGCGUGUUCACCUCUUCCAUCGUCGUGUAUGGCCGGUCGGUUGACCUUAUGUAACGUAACAGCUAUACGUGCUACGGUUGCGUGUUUAGCUCUUAUAGUUGUUCAACAUUGUUUGGAAUGAGUCUAGAGUGCGUACGUCAAUGAGUGAAAAAAGAAAGUGAGUACUGGCUGUAGGUCGUGUCGUGAAGCGACCGACGUUCACUGGCACUUUCGUGUCGCGGAGUGUGUUUAUCGUGUCGCCGUCGUAAUACCCCAACCGUUCACAAGCGCGAAUGAGCCAGCCCGCCAACAACGACGACGACGACGACUAUGACAGGGGAAUCUUGAAGUGGUGAGCCGGACGCCUAUUUAGUGGUUUAAGCAGUCCGUGGACGACAGCUUUCCCAUUUUCGUGUGUGUAUAAGGAAUGCGUGCAUGGUGUAUACGCCAUGUAAGAUAAUAUAGGUGAUAACUAACAAGCAUUAAUUGAGCUGGUCGUGACCAUUUGUGAGGCAGUUGUCUUGUUCCCUCCACCUCGCGUGAGCAGUACCGCGUCCCUUCGACACGUGCGUUCAAGACGGGGAAGGAGAAUUAACAUUGAGUGUACGUAUGAUGUGCCAGUGUAUAUGUUGUUGAAAAAAUCCUGCUUUUCCUCUGGAAGUUUGCGUUUUCAAUGGUGGCUUAUUGGCCGGGAAGGCUUCUAGAUUGGCAAUUUAGCCAUAACAGCUUUCAAAGUGGUUUCGUAUUUCGUCUUUUGUUUAAUGUAGAUCUUUUAUUUUGAAAAAUGAAAAAGGGGAUUCUGUUUGAUGUUCGAAAAAGGUGCGAUCGUACGCUUGAAUUUAAAUCCAUAUUGGCAAAAAAACAAAAAUCAAAGUAAUAAUUCAUAAAUGAAGCAUUAAAUCAGCCCCUGUUGGCAUUCAACGCAGAGAACUGGAUGUGCCAACUACUAUCAGUAAAACGCUGUUUUCUUCUUCCGAUCACAACUAACAACAGACCAGUUAUAUCAAUUCAAUACGGUUUCCUCCUCUCCACCCCGCAAUUAUUUGUAAUAGAUUGAUGGAAUCCUUUUUUGACGAUAAAAAAAGUCAAUCAUUUGUUGCCAGCUAAUGACGAGGCUAUAUCAUCCGCUUAUUCACUUACCAUCAUCACUACUCCGACCAACGAUUGUAUUUAUCGCCUAUGCGAUAUAUAAAUCAGUGCCAUCCCUGACCUUCUGGGCUCGCUGACGACCCGGGGCCACUCCCUGCGAGAUCCGCUAUACCGAUCAGCGGCGGCACGGUAUGUUGUGUAGAAGAUGCGUUUGUAUCUUUGGAUCUUUAAAUGUGUGGUUGUGAGCGGUUGUGUGUUUUUGUGUCAGUGGGAAGAGCAGGGCAAGGGAGGGGCAGCUGGGCUCAUAAUCGCAUCAUACGCGUAUAACUGUUCUGUUCCAUUUCAAUAUACCUGUUUGCCGUUGUUGUUGUUUUGAGUAGUAGUGCUUGUUGGUGCUUACCGACCGAUAACUUUAUUGUCUUUUGAUAUUUACGCGCUGGCAGCGGUAAUAGCGACGCCUUUUACUCAACUCAGUUUUCUCCUCGUUAAUCACUGUACCGCUAUAAUGAGCGUCGUUGUACGAUGGUAUAUUCCAUCGUUAUUAUUAUUCCGUUAUGCUCGUGCUUGGCCGAUGGGUCGCAUCUCGGCCCGUUCUUUUGCCCCUCAGUUACGACGUCGCUGGCAGCCAGUAGCAGUAAUGCUGCUAGAGUGGCCUACACGAUUGUUUCAGUCAUCAGAGUCAGGCUGGCAGCCUCUGUCUCUCAUCUGUCUGUACGGUCCCUCUGGUUGUGUCAUGCGAUUAAGUAAGCACAAAAAGAGGACUACCAUUAUGUGCCAGAGCAAUCGGUGGAUGUUUGUCGGAACAAGAGUCGCCUGCGUUUGCUGUAUACCCCAAAGAACGGGUAAUGCAGCGUCUCCGAACUUAACCGAGGGCCAUAGCGAACCAGGGGAUGGUUGCGCUGCUUCCAUUGCUACAGGAAAGAGGCAUGGCCACCGUCACCACACAGAGGCUGCUGGUGCUCCGCUACUGUUGCUGCUACCGAUGCUGUUGGUAUCGCUUCAGUGCGUCACAACAAACAACAUUAAACACUUCCCUUACUACACACUAAUGGGACCGCGGACGGAUAGGCGAAUACUCAGUAUAGAUCUUGUGCGUGAUGCCAGCGUCGUUAGUAGUCGCUGCUACCGCGGCGUUCAGACUGGCCCUUACAUAUAUAUUAUAACAGAGUGCGGUUUUCCAUGGUUUGGCUAUCGUCGGCGUCAAUAGCGGCGACUGCUCGGAUGUUCGAUAUUUCUGUCUGUCCGUAUUUAUCAACUAUACAAUUACUGCCCCACUGUUCCUUCUGUGCGAGGGUAUAGUUUGUCUAUGAUAUGUAACAUUCGCCCUUCUCACUGUUUAUCGUUCUCUGUAUUUGUAUGCGCGUGCGUGCGGCGUGAUCUGUGCUGUGUCUUGCUGCUGAUGCAAGCUGAUGGUGGUGGUGGUGAGUAGUGGCUCACGCGUCUCUACCCCUAUGUGGCGAUUCUCUAUGAGUGAGCUCCGCUGUAUACCAAAGCAAGCAAGUAGACGUAGAUAAAUGGACUACUCUGUCUGUCCGUGUCUACGAAACCGAACGUCCACGUAAACGGACAUACAAUCAGCCAGCUAUUACUAAUGGACAGAGUCCAAGUAGAAGCCUGAUAGAAAUAGAAACGCUAGUGGCAGAGAUAGUACAGAGAGGUACAAUUAGUCGUAUAAUCAUCUACGUAGUUAUAAUCAUAAUAAUAAAAACAAUACAAAUUAAAAGAACAAGAAUGGAUAAGCGAACGUGGUAUGCACCAAACGUGUUUAUGUGCCUGCUUCCAUUUGAUUCUACAACAUCUGCAUACGUAUACUGUUAUGAAGGUAGCCGAAGUAGCAGUUGCAUCUGUUUAUUAUGUUUUUUGUUGUUGAGCCGCUGCUGGCUGUGACGUUGCUGUCUUCGUUGUUGCCCUCACAUGGUCGUUGUUACCACCGUCACGAUGAUGUAUCUUAGACCCUUUACCGUGCUGCUGCUACUGCUAAUCCUAAUACGGUCACUGCAAAAAUUCACAAGAAGAAAUUCUGUAUGUUAUGAUCCGUUAGUCCUGAGUAUCGAUAGGACUUCCUCCCCACGAUCUACGUUUUUAUUGUAUUCGGAGAAAAAGCGGACGGAUAGCGAUACCCGUUAUCGAGUGUGUAGUGUAGUUUGCUAUCCUUGUAGUACGGGGCUGAGCUAGACAGGGAAGCUGCCGACCACCGGCAUAUAGGGGCAGUUACACCUUUUAGUGUCAUAUCUCUCUGUUUUGUUGCCAACAGCAGCAGCAGCAGCAGCACUCAACUAAGCCUCCGUUGGUUUACCUUACGUUCAUCGUUGCCAUUUUCUUCUUUAGUGGAACAUGCGAGGAAAGAAAAAAAGAGAUUGUGGAAGGGCGCGUUUUCCUCUUUACCUACCAGGCUACGUAAGCAGGCGCCCAAGACCUGGCCAAAGGUCCAGCAGCUUUAUGCUAAGACAGCUGGACCUGGCUUGAGUCCCAUGGAACGCUCCCUCCGUUCGUACAAAGCACCAACAUCAUUACUACAACUGUAUGCCAAUGCUGCAGGCAUAGAUGGAAGAAUGCCAGAAGCUGUAAGAAAGAAGUGAGUGACCAUGGUGGGCGCUCCUCGUCGCUGAUCUCUGUUUGUUUCUAGUCUACACUAUACUACCCACAUAAGUACACAGCCAGCUUUCUAUCAAACAUCUACGACGGUACGAUGCUGCCAAAUGGAGGCAAGGAGGGUUGCUGCCGACCGUACUACCGCUAUUAUAGCGCAACUAACAAGCAUGAUCAUCGUUGCCGCCCAGAAUCGGCUUGUUGUGGCUCGUAGCUCUACGUAGUCUGUAGUACCAUCGCGAUUAGACAGCUUAUAAGAGAAUGUAGGAGAACGAGCAGAACCUGGCGCACCAUUGGCCAUUGCUGGUCGACGAAGGGAAAACCCUCGUCCACUAGUAAUGGCCUCGAAAGGGAGGCUGGAUUAUAUAUACGGCACAGCCAUCAUCACGGUAGUAUCGCACUACACUGCGAUCGCUUUCCAACAUGUCACGCAUGUCCUAGCGUGCUGGGCGGGUAUAUAUAUAAACUUAUAUGUGCGUAUGGUGCAUUAGGAACCGUUCCAAUGUUCUGCUGUACUCUUUUCCCGGGCCAUGUGCUCGAUAUGUCUAUCUGUGAACUACUACCGCUAUACGACAGCUUAAGCUAUUCAUUUUCCCUCAGUGCUCUACUGCGCACACAUAGGAGCAAGCACUCAGCUGUUACGCUCUACGCUUAGUCAGGAGAGGCAGUAGGAGAACUUAAAACGCCAAUGAGAGGGCGCUGGAGGGCCAAGCACAGGCAAUGAACAACAACAAUAAGUACAGCAGCAGCGGCCGCCAUAUGCAGCCAACCAGCAGCCUGUGAGAGCAGCACUACGUUGCUUUUGCUGCUGGAUCGUCGCCAGCAGCACGACCACUACAGCAGUCACUGCUGACAGCGACUAAUUCGUUGGCGCUCGACGUGACGCCAGCUCUGACUACUGACGACUAGCGACUACAUACCUAUAUGCUGCCGGCUACUAUGACUAGCUGUGGGCUGUAGCUCUUCCGACGACGGUGCAGACAGAUCUUCCUAUGCUUUUCUUCCUUUUGGCUUCUUUCUUGCUGUUGCCGCUUAGCUUUUAGGCUUGGGCUCUCCUACUUGAUCCUCUCAUUCGUUUGGUUCGUAGUUGAUCGGAACAACGAAGGAAUGGACGAUUCUUCCCUGGCCUCCGUCGCUUUGCUGUUCUCCUCAACAGCGACCGCGCCAGCAGUCGCGAUAGCGGCACCAUCACCUCCAUCUUAUGCCCAUACCCACAUACGCUCGCACGCAUAGAUACGAACCCAUACGGUAUUCCCUUCAGGCGUGUUCCUCCGCUAGUUGUGCUUCUUUGUCGUCGUCGUAGCGGGCGUAGCACACAACAGCGACAGCCGCAGGCGGCGUGUUGUAGUAAGUAGGACUCUGAUAUGCUGGUAUGUUGUCCAGUUUCAAGGAGUGAACACAUUCGUCCUUGCUUUGCCUGGCCUGUCGGCGGGGCUAGCGUAUUGCUUGCUACCAUUGCUAAAUACACACAUGUCUGCAGGAAGACGUACCAUUGCUAUUAUUACUGCUUCUUUUGCUACUGACUCUGUGCGCAGUUGCAGAUUCUCUAUUUCGUUCUUUGUGCAGCAGCGCUCCCGUAGAGACAACCAGAGUAGAGAGAUGAAGGUGGUAGAUGUAAUAGUGAAGGCGGUGCUGGUGAAAAUAUUAUGUUCCGUUCACAGAGAAGCUCUCCUGCGUAGCGUGUUUCUGCUGCUGUACGAAGAACGAAUAUACAGCGUUGUGAAUUGACAUAUCCUUAUUCUCCUCGUUGUUGUUUCUAUCGUCUGGAUAGUUGACGUGACUAUGUGCCCUGAGGUGUGUGCAUGUGUUGGCGUGCUCUGUUCCCUAGACGUAGCUGGCAGGUCCUGUCGGUUUUCGAGAGCAGCGAGAAAGAGCCCGGUCGUAUACGCACGAACUCUUGAGGCACUUCCUCUAAGCAGUGCAGUAUGCGCUGAACGUGUUUAAACGGAAAGCGAAUUUUCAGGUACCUGGUACACUAUUCAAGAUUUCUCAUCAUGGAGGUCUAUGUUGGUCGUUCAUGAAAUUAGUAUGAAGUUUUUCAACGUUUCCUUAAUAUGCCGUUUCAUACGGAUGAUCGUGUCAAUUUCGACUGUGAACAUGCUUGAGCAGUGCUGUAUUGUUUGAGGCGGAUCUGUAAAUUGAUUUAUACAUGAAAUGUAUUUCGUUUAGGACAUACCGACAUUAGCCGGACUAAGUUUCGUAUGGUAGUGGCGUGUCAGAUGCGGUUGCAUGAUUUCGUAAUCUUGGAAGAUACAAUGCGUAGUGAUCUGAUGCGUACAUAGCGCAAUGUAACAAAUGUCUUCAGAUCCUUAAGUGUUCACACACAACUUAUUCGUGGAAAAUAUCGGUGCUACAAGUAAUGUCAGUUCUAUUAAAUGCUGUAUCGAUGGCCUUCGACUCCUCGGAAACUGUGCUCAAAACUCGAGAAGUAUCAUUGAGACCCUUACAAACUCGUCAUGAAGGUGUUUUGUGGGCACGUAUGGUACUAUUUGCGCAGAUAUACAGUCGUACAGAUAUGUCAUGCCCUUUUAUGUUUGUUUGCCUUUUCGAGGAAUCGUUUGACUGUGUGUUUGUUGCUCUACAGUCUGCAAUCGAAUAUCGCAAGUCUUUGAAGAUUUAAUCGUCGCAUCCUUUCCAUCCAUCUGUCAGCCAUAGCCCCCGUAGGGGCCACCGAUGGGUUGUGUACCACUGGCACUAUUACCGCCAGCAGCAUUCGCGGCAUUCGUUCCUUUACGAGUCGAGCCGCGGUGAACACGACACGAAACCGACGGGGAGGAGAGAAAGAUACGGCUGUGGCUGGCUAUCCUCUAUAGUUGGUGAACAGCCCCAGCCACAGUUUGAUCAGCAGACAGCACACGCUGAUUCUGGACAGCACAACAAUUCCCAACGAACAGCGAAUGGCAAGUAACAGAGCGUGGUAUGACAACGCUCCGGCAGGAGACACUGUUGGUAAUACCGCUGCUAUAGGAGGAGAUGACAGAGGUGGACAUGGUGCUAGCGAACAAAGCAGCAGCAGUAGGCCUAGCGACUGCAGCGCUCCAGAAUAGUGUAUGGAGCAGGACCGGACUGGCUGCGGUACGGCCGAUAUAAGCAGCAGGAUCAGAUUCGACUCUCAGAUCAGGCCGAAGCCGCUCCGCGCUUCGCUUGGCGCAGUGCCUCGAGUACAACUCGUGUUCCAUUUACCGUACUCGACUAAUUGAACUUUGCUGGGAUUGCAUCAUUGACUAUUGAUUUUACAGACUAGACUGUGGGAGAGAAUACGAUUAGACCCUAUUCUAGCUAGUAAGUUUAAAUAGUUAGCCAGGAAUGAACUAGUCAAGCGAGUGGCGGUCCUUCCGUUGCGUUCUAUAUUAUUUUGCUUUGUCUGGUGAUAUACGAUAGAUAGCGGUUACCUGACAGAGUAGCAAAGAUUAUUUUCUAUACUGUUCGGAUGCUAUAUAAGGAAAACUUCUAAGCUUUUUCUAACUUCGAGAAAAAAGAUACAAGUUUAUAUGCGCAGAUAAUUAAGACAGGGCAACUCGCGUUACUUAUGAUCAGUAUUCAUCUCUGCUUCAGCGGCUAUACGCAGAAGUCAGAAUUUAAAGAACUAAAGGUGAACAAGGCUUGAUUAGUGCAUAAAUAGAUUGUAGACUAGAUUCGAGAUAGCGACAGCUAGAAGACGACCGCAUUCGAAAAACGCACGCUGAAACAGACUUCAUGUUCAACAAAGAUAUCUGUUUUACACUCAAGAGUCAAAAACUCGUUGAAAAAUGGAUCAAUGCGAUGCCAAAAUUCGAUAGAGCAUCCUCAGAAAAUCUUACGUGCAUGUAUUCUCGGAUUUUUUCUGUGGAACUGUUACUUCAUUGGCUUUUGCGUGACUUCCACAAUCAUGCGUUCCGUGUUCCAGUAUCGGAUUUAGCUUCUGCAUUAGUUCAUAUUGCUCUGAUGAAGCAGAGGGGGUAGGUAAAAUUUUCUUUGUGCAAAAUUUAACAUGGAAUGCUGCGACUUCGAGGAGUGUAUUGUGGGUGAAGGAUUUCUCUGAGUGAAGCCAUGCGCCAGCUACUAUUGAAAGAGAUAACAACGGCAGCCUCUUUGAACCAAGCUAAAUCUACCAUAACGGCGUACAAGAUCAACAAUGAAACGCUUCCCAAUCGAUGUGUACGUGUCGGAGUAAACAGAUAUUCCGAAAUGGACCAUGUAACUGCCUCAUUAGUGUGUGAAGUUCCGAUGCCGUGUAAAUGACUUCAUGCGGAGAAUGAAAGAAAGGUCUUGGUUCUGUGAUUCGGAGUGCCUUUGUUAAAGGAGAAGUGCGCCUGAAUUCUAGGUUAAGGUGCCGCUAUUAAGGCACGAGGAAGAGCUCUGAGUAACAAAGAAGGUCAAAGUUUCAUUAGUGCUUGUGUUCACGUAAGUAUCGAUAUGUCCACGAGGAAACGCAUAUCGGUGGCUAUUUGUGAGUUUCCGUGAUCGGUUAUUCUGAAACAACAGUUGCUGCGAUGGAGGAGAAUAGAGAAUGAUGAAGAGCAAACGGCUUUGAUAAUAAUGCCCGAAUGGAAAACAAGUUAAAUAAAAGAUUUUAGUCAGAUAUUGGGAACCGCCAUCUGAACUGAAUUUCGUUCAGCGUUGCCGUUCUGUUGAAGCGUCCUAUGAAAGAAGACAUACAAACAUAAUUAAGAGCACCUCAAUAACACAGUUGUAACAAUUAAUGAAAUAUGCACACAAGACAACAGGAAUUUGGGAACUAUUGAGGCAUAUGGAUGAAUCGAACUGGAAUAAAUAGUCAAAUUGGCUUUCGUUCUUCAUUCUUCUUUCGUUACUCCGUUUUGCUCGUCGUUAUAUUUCUCAACAGGAUUUGAUAUCUAAUUUAAGCUUACCGCUCACGUAGAGAUCUAAUUUUUGUUGGAUUCCGUAUCUAUAUUAACUUUUAGAAAGAAGGCAGUGAAGAAAAUGGCACUAAGCAACGUAUCUAUCUAUCGAAGUCUUGAUCUAAUAAUUUUGUGCUUAGUGAUCUUUAUAUCUUUUAUACUCUUCUUAUUAAGGAUCAGUCUAACAGGCUAGCACUUAGCAAGUAUAAAUCGUCAAGUUAUGAUUCAGUUUAUCAAUUCAGGUUAUUUUACUUUGUUUCUAAGCGCAUCAUCGAUCCAAAAUAUUAUAGUAAUUGAAAGUACAUCCAGAGUAACUUUUUAUGAAAAAUACUCUAAUAAACUUAUUAAAUUUGGCUGUCGCUCAUGUGUACCAUGGCUUAAUAUUUUCAGUUAUACGAUUCAGUGAUGUUAAUCCAGUGAAAUGCAGUUUGUUAGUUUCCAUCCUUACAAUGCCGUUGACAACGAAUGCAAAAUAAAAACUGAUCUCACAGACCUUCGUGCCUUAUGCUAUAGAGUAGCUAGAUCUUACUGACGUCGCCAUUAUCGGUUAUCACUACUGUCUUCGUUUGUUUCGUUUGACCUCAUCUUCGUGGUUCUGUUCGCGUAGAAGUUGAUCUUUUUUGCAACGGUCACACUCCCACUUUGCCUUUAUCAAUGGAAUUAUUUAAAAGAUUGUACGUCCUUUUUCACUCCUAUUUGUCAUCUGCGUUCUAACGUUCUUUCUAAGUGCACCCUUCUCAGUUUGUCGCCCCCCCGUCCCCCGUCCCCCUCCCCCGCCCUUCUCUGUCUUUUCUUUUCUGUAAAUUUUCUCAAAGACAACUUCUACAUUAUUCGGCUCUCUUAAUUUUACGGUCAUCUCCGAACAUCCUUGUAAGAAGUGUUCCUAAAACUUCACCACUCAUUCUAAGUUACUUUCUCCUGUUUUGACAGACUAUUCUGCACUUAUUUCUCCUGUUUCGUCUUUUAUCAAUUAACACAAAAACUACAUGACCCCCAGCAUCAUAAUCAGCUGCAACCAACGUUUAGCCAAUAGCUAGAGGUUACGUUUGAUACGACAACCUACAUUCUAUCCUAUGAGCUAAACAAAGGAAGCGCCCGAUGCCUUUUCUACUGCAUCCAACAACAACAAACGAAAGGUCGGGUCGACGUGUCGGCGCCCGCUUGUUCACUUCGACCCAUCCGUCCACAACCUUCACCAACCUAAACGCCUACUCUAUGUGUUCCUCUCACUCAAGCACAACGUCCUUCAAUGACCAACUGAUCUACCCAGUCUAUCCAGCACGAUCCCACGAUUCCUUCAUCACACGGUAUCCCCAGUCUCUCCGUCUGUACAACUUAACUAUCGAUCUACCUACACCCACUCACCCACGCAUCAUCUACCUAUUCUUCUACAACUUCGGACGAGUUUAGGUACAGUGAGCAUCCUUAGGAAAGGUUUGGCACAACUUCAAGCCUUGUCGUUAUUUUCGCUAGCGGCCCAACAGGCUCAGGCAGGGGCGGCUGGGGCCCAGGAACCUACAUCGUCGACACCUAAUUCGCCCUCAAUUCGACGCGGAGGAAAGAUCUGCUCGAUUUGUGGUUACCAGGCGUCAGGAACUACGGCAUUGGAAGCGCAUAUACGCGUCCAUACAGGCGAGAAGCCGUUCGCGUGCGAGUUGUGCAGCUAUCGUACGAAGCAACAGUCAACGUUGACGCGGCAUAUGCGGACGGUGCAUGCGCCCAAGUCGGAGAACGGCGUACCGAACACGGGUGGAGUGCAAACAAUCUUCGAUGAGGGACAACUGCUGAUGCUAGCGGCAAAUCAAGCUGCGGCCUCGAAUAUGCUUCCACUGUAGAACAUCGUUGCCGUGUCCUUAUAAAGGAAAAAAGUAGGAGCUGGACAGAUGAUCAAGGCGUGUCUCAUUAUGUGCGAUCCCAGUUAGCAUGUCGUCGACGUGUUCUACCGUCCGAAACAAAAACAACUAGUCGGAGAUAUAAAAUUAAUAGGCCAAUUGCCUGCAGUCGUUCGCCUGUUGACCGUCCGGAGCAGAAAAUGAGUCCACACCAAACUACAACUGAAAAAAGGAACAUGGAAACAAAAGCAUUUGGAGGGAACCUGACUAAUCGGGAAUUUUGCAUAAGACCGACUAUAUUAACAAAUUGAUCAACAACAACUGUUACGCGGUAUAUGUAAGGGUGUAUAUAAAUAUACACGGCAGUUAGACAGAGCGACCGACGCACAGACAACAAACGACCGAUGCAGUUCAACAAAGACACGAUCAAAUACGCACGCGACGUAGCUAGCAGCCGUAGGAUCAAUCAUCGGCGACGUUUUCCAUCAGUUUGGGAUUUACGAGGACGAAGAUGAGGCUAAAGAGGUAGCAGAUUAAAUGUAUGCAAAGCACGAACGGCGUACGGGUGAAGCGGUCGAUGGAAACAAAAACGGAACAAAAGAAGCAGAACUACGACGCUGAUGAUGCUGAUUAUUUUGAUGUGUAAUGGAGCACUGUAGUAUGUUAAAAAGUCGGAGAGGACGGCUCCAGGUCUCAACCAAGUAUUCCUGACCACCACCCCCCACGGCUAGGCUAGAGGUAAGGCUACUUGGCUACGGGGGCUUGGAUCAAAGAUCUUGUACACUUAGAUGUGUAUGUUGAUGGCUGCCUCGAAAUGUUCGGAUCAAAUGAGGUAUGACAAGCAAAAUGGAUGUUGGUAUUGGAACGAAAAAGUGGGCAAGUAUGCUCGACAAAUAUGCGAAAGACAAUGUACGAUGACAGCAUGAUUUCGUGUGCGGUAUCGACUCUCGCUUGCUUACGUCCGUGGGUCACUUGUAGUCCUGGCGACGUCCUGCUUAUGACAUGCAUACCGACUGGUCCAUAUGCUCAAAAGCGGUAGUAAGGUACGUAGAUGAAGCUCUCGCGUCCGUUCGAAGUAAAAUAAGGCGGCUAUGCGGUUGCAGUCGGGGUAACCAAACACAUAAAUAAUCCCAAAUGUAAAUGAACAUGAACCACACCAAAGUUGUCUAUGGUAACAGGGAAGCGAAAGAAGAAAUGGCCGGACAGCCGAGUGGACGUCGAGAUAGCAGUGGCGUUGAGGUUUCUUUUGUCGCCAGGACGACCGAGAUCCUAAGUUGCUGUCGCAUCAACCACAAGCAACAGCAGUCGCAGAAAGAGAAAUCCAUGGCAUAGCCUCACAUAUGCAGGACAAUAGAACCAAAUGGCGGGUAUCGGGACUAUCCGUGACAGCUUCGGCAGCCGCGUAGCUUUAACGAGUCGAAUUUUAGAAGUCGGAGAGAGGCACACGCGCACACAAUCAACUAAUUAUAAUAAUAAUAAUAAUAAUUGAUAAUAACUGCUAAGUGUAAAAGCAGUGCGACCGUAUCCUCUGACCUUGCCGGCUUUCGCGGUCACGGUUCGUUCCGCCCCCGCAUGUAGGUAACGAAACGAAGCGAUUAAAUGUUACUAACUGUGCUACUACCACCAUUACUCUCACUGCAACAACAGCAACAGGUACACCAAUCAACAACAACAUCAACAACAACAACAGCAGUAACAACAAAAACAACAACCCACAGCAACAGCAAGAACUCCGACAAACUAACGGCAAGAAACGCAAUUAGGCUUCGCCCCACCGGUUGGAGGCCCCCGGACGCUCAAAAAUGUCGGCCCGCCGUUAACUUUCGAAAUAUUCUGGAUCAUCCGUCGAUUCUCUUUAAAACCCAUUUUCUUUUCAUAAUCGAUUUUUGUUUAUGCCGAAACGCUAUCGAGGAGUAACCGAUUCUGAUAUGGGAAAAAACACGAAGAAAGGGGCUAACGAUGGAGAAUGAGCGUAGCGGGCCUACGGUCGGUGUUUUAUUAUGCAUUUAUCUUGACACAGUACAAGACGCAACAUUUUAUACACGAUAUACAAUGCUAUGAUGUAUUAUCAUCAUGAUAUAAUAACUUUAAUUAUGAUGGCAGUGGGCAUAUUCAUUAUCCUCUUCGAGAUGCGUUAUGUCCCAAGUGCGUCCCAAAGGUCUCUAUUAUGGUACGAUCUUGACAAGAGCGGAACUUGAGCUACGCACGAGAUCAAAAUGGACCACGAUUGUACGGAGAGUAUUUCGGAUCUAUGCAGCGUGCCUAGCUCAUUGUUCAACUUGUUUGAUUUACCAUGUUUUAUUUUCUAUGCAGCGGGAUCUUCGUAUCCCUUCAGUCACAUUGCAUCAAACGUAAAUACAUAGAAUGGAGGUAAUAGUAAUAGGGAUAACGAUAACCGCAGCAGCAACAACAAUUAAAGACAUUACGGCUUAGAAGUGAAAAUCUAGUUUUUGUUCGAGGAAACAAUCUUCGAAAGGAUGGAAAUACAUCCCGGUGACAACUUAUCUGAUACUUUACUAGCACACGUAUAUGUAUAUAUAUGUAUACUUGACGUGCCGCUUUUGCUUAUCUGCGAUGCGAUUAGGUGGGCAAGGCAGAGGGUCAAAGCAAAAGGAAACUGAGCGGUGUACUUCAUAAAGAUACCACUCAAAAAGACGGCAUUUAGACGACAGAGUCAUGUGAAUGUAGCUAGCAUCUCAUCGUCACAUUUGACUGAAUUUAUUUGAACUUUGAAGAAUAACGGCAUUUGCUACUUUGGCCGUGCUCGAAGCGCGUCUAUGGAAAACUUCACGAGUCACAGUCCAAGGACAGCUAUGCAUCUUCAUAUGGUUAUGAUGAAGUCGUUGUUGUUGUUGUUGUUGCUGUUGCUACCACCGUUGUUAUUAUUAUUACUAUUGCCAGCGGGAUUAUUAAUAUAUAUAUAUAUAUAUACAUACAUAUUAUAAAUUUAAAUAUUAUUAUUAUGAUUUCAAUUGAUAAUCUUGGCGAAUGUGUACGAAUAUCGUUGAUUUAUUUCGUUGUAUCAUUAUUGCUAGUAAUACUAGUACUCGUGCGUGUGUGCUAGUGUGCGUGCGAGUCAAUAACUAUACGUGUCCGUUGUGUACCUAAGCAUGAGGGUACAAGGGAGGAAAGGAAGACGCUUUUCCAGACCGAUGAAGCGUCCGUGUCCUGCAAAUUUUUAGAAAACAAAAAAAUUCUAUCCUUCCUUUACUCUUGCUUGUCUAUAUCAGUAUGUAUGUUUGAUCCUGCGAUGAUUUAUUACUUGGCAUUUCGCUGCACGCUGGCGAUUUCAAUUCUUAUUUGAUCUUUUUUCGCUUAUUUUUAUUCAAUUUUUGCAUUUUUCCCAAUUCCCUUAAAGAACGCAAUUUUUUAUGUGGUAAUAUUUCUAAGGGGAUUAUUAUGGCACUAGCUGUUUUUGUCAUUGUUGCUGUCGUCAUAACGGCUGCCAGUCGAUUUUCGAAAAAGGUUUUUUUGAUAACAACAGAAAACAAAGCCAAACUAAUCGUAUGCAAAAAUAACAACGAUUACAAGUUUUAUUUAGCCACCAGCGAUGCUGAGUGUCUCAUAAACAAGACAAGCUCCAUGAGCUUGAUGCCGUGGAUGAAAUAUGACAAAAUUAUCUGCAGUCUAGAAAACGGUUAUUCUGUACGAGGAGAAAAAACGAAAGAAGAAGAUUUUCCAAUUUGUUCGCUAAAGCAGCUUCAAAAUUGGGAGGCAAACAGACAAACGAUUCAACUCGAACGAGGUCCGAUGAGAAGGCUGUGCAGAAUUAGAAUGAUUCACUUUCACGCCUAAUCUAUUACAGUUAAUUUAUUCAACGAACCAUUGAAUUGCAACUGCCAUUAGCGCGUGUAAAUGAAUAUAUCGAGAAUUUUCAAGUAAAAAUAGAAAGUGGGAAAUGGGUUUUCGCUCACCGAACAUGAUUGUUUGAUUAAUUUACCUAUUCCUGAAUAGCAAACUAACUUCGAUAGAUCUACUGUCGAUGACGACGACACAUAAAACGAUGAUGGUUAUUUAGUUAUCUUGUCAAAGCAAUAAUAAUCGAUUAUUUUUGUCGUAAUUAACUUUCCGUCGUAUAAUUUUCUUGCCUCUUUGUCGAAAUCGAAGCAAGCCGCAUGAUCGAUGAAAUAUUAAUUUAUAACAAAAUCGUGUGCAAUAAACUAUGCAAUCAAGAUCUAUUUAGACAAAGAAGUUGACAGUGGUGGUGGUGGUGGAACAAGCGCGAAUAAGCAAUACGUAAUAAUCUUAUUAUUUGCCCCUUUCCCCAGUCCCCCCGCGUUGGAGAGGGACAACUUUUUAUUCCCGCGAACAUCAGUAACUAGCUAGCCAAUAAAGGACAGACACCUCAACUGAUCCCAGUAGAAUCAGCAAUCAAGGAGCAACUUCGUCCAAAAAAUGCUUCUGCUGUUGCUGUUGACACUAAUUAGCACAGACGCAAUUUUUCUCUACACCGAAGAAAUGUCAAGCUUUUAUAAUAGUAUUAUCAUUGUUAUUGUACUGUUUACCUAAGAUGAGUUCUAUAAUGAAGGCAGGGGAGAACUGAUAUCGCCGGCGAGUAAAUCUAAGGCGGUAUCUUAUAUUAUGAUAUGAUAUUGAAGCUAGCAGAGUAGCUGAUGCUACGUUGUCAGGCCAAAAUAGACCAAGAUGUUUCCGAGAGUUUGCAUUUUUUUUUUUUCGUUAUUUAUACUACUUUGCUGUCAAUCGAUCCGACAGGGUCGGCAAAUACAGUGGACCUAAUUUUGCGUACAGUAUUAUCCAGGCUGAGACGAUUUUACAGAUCUUCGUAAUAUCAUGUAAAGACGAAGAAAAACACCUAUCGAUUUCUUCAAUGUUUCAUUAAGUCAUGCCAGCAUCUCCCAAGACUUAUGAUCAAUCAAUCAAUCAAUCAAUCAAUCAAUCGGUCAAUGAGUGAAACAAGAUGUGCGUCUAUUACCGUGUGCAUUUCGGGUUUUGCAAUGCCAUUCGCUGAAUGAAACUAGAACGAAGGCAGUGCACUAUUUUUUUUUAUUUUCAUUUCAAAACUUGCUACGGAAACAUAACGCAUAGCAUCGAACCUUUUACUUUAUUGGUAUGUGUGUUUUUC